rnacentral:rRNA from 1 species
UCAACCGAGNAACUGCAGAGCGAACCCCAAGUCUUGAGACAGAUAGAGGUUGUCGGAACGAUUGGUGGAGUGGUGAAAUGCGUUGAUAUCAAUCGGAACGCCAAAUGAGAAGUCAGGCAACUGGAUCUGUUCUGACGCUGAGGCACGAAAGCGUGGGUAGCGAACGGGAUUAGAUACCCCGGUAGUCCACGCCGUAAACAAUGUGCACUAGGCCGAGGGCGUUCUGACGCGACUCUCGGCCGAAGCGAAAGUGUUAAGUGCACCGCCUGGGGAGUACGGUCGCAAGGCUAAAACUCAAAGGAAUUGACGGGGGCUCACACAAGCGGUGGAGCAUGUGGCUUAAUUCGAAGCAACGCGAAGAACCUUAUCCUAGGUUUGACAUACACGGAUUAGCUAUAAGAAACUAUAGUGACACCUUUUAGGUGGAACGUGAACAGGUGCUGCAUGGCUGUCGUCAGCUCGUGCUGUGAAGUGUCGGGUUAAGUCCCUUAACGAGCGCGACCCUUAUCGUUAGUUGCUAACAGGUAAUGCUGAGGACUCUAGCGAGACUGCCGGUGUUAAACCGGAGGAAGGUGGGGAUGACGUCAAGUCCGCAUGGCCUUUAUGCCUAGGGCUGCACACGUGCUACAAUGGCAAGUACAAAACGAAGCAAUACCGCAAGGUGGAGCAAAUCGCAAAAGUUUGCCCCAGUUCGGAUUGCAGGCUGCAACUCGCCUGCAUGAAGUUGGAAUCGCUAGUA